GGGGCGGCAAGGGGCUGGCCAGCUGCCGGCGCGCGGACGCUCUAAUAUGGAUGCGCAUCAGGUCCUGCAGGCAGGCGAGCGCCGGCGGCUCGCCGGGAGCUGGUUGGUAGAGUCAGCAGCUCGGGAAGGGGAAAGGAGCGGAGGAAGGGGAGGGGAGGAGGAGGAGCAGCCCCGCGGGCGCCCGGGGAGAGGGCCGCCGCUCAUCCCCGCCGCCCACGGCCCUGAGAGCGCACCGCCGCAGCGUGGAGCGCGCGCGGGUCCUCUCCGCCAGGAAAAGGCCGGAGUUUAAGAAGCACAGCAUACUUUACCGAUGCCCACGCCCACCCCCCUCCCUGCCCAUCCCAAAAGUUCUCUACCAGGGUGCUCCCGCUCGGACCCGGACGCCUCCCUUGCACCCCACUCCAGCGAACGAAACCCCGCGCGCGGACUUACGGCGGGGCAAGGCGCUGAGCUCCGCGGCAUGAUGGAGCGAGGGCCGGUGGGCUGCGGAGCGGAGGAGAGGAGAGAUGCAAACUUGUUCCGGAAAAGGAAUCAAAAUGGCGUUUCUGGAUGUGCAAAGUUCAUCAACUCCGCAGUCACUUCCCCUCCUCCUCUUCUCCCACAACGAGGGAGGUGGGCGAGGCGCUGGCGCCCCCGCGCCCCGAGCCGUGGUCCACGGCCGGCCUCGCCCCCGGCCCUCUCCGUCGCCCGCACGCCCGGCCGCUCGCCCUCCCUCGCUCACCCCGAUAAGUAGACACAUCACGUGUUGCUCCUGCGAGUCUCCUGGGGACGUGUUACUGAGCGGCGGCUCCCGCCGGGGGGGGCGCCGCGCGGUACCCGCCGGUCCCCACGUCGCCCCCGCCCACGUUGGAGCGGAUGGCCGCGGUUUCCAUCCCCAUAUGGACCGAAGUGGAGCCCCCUGCCCCCCGCAGCCCCAGACGAUGCUUAAGCGGGGCUGCUGCGCCCCGAGCUGUCUAGGAGCCACUGUGUCCCUAUCCCGCGAUGGAGGGCAGACGCUGUGUCAUUCACGUCGCCCUCCAAGGCACCAGGGAAGCUACAUGCAAUAUCUCUUUCUCUCAGAGGGCUCCCGUUUCAUCUCGGUGCUGCGUUCCACCUCCAUAGCUCUGCCACCACGACUCACCCCAGCUGCAGUGGCCCAAGUUAUCACAAAGCCCAGAGAAACCAGGCCUCGGCUGGCUUCCUUCAUAAAGGAGAGUUCGUCUUUCCAACUAUUAGUGCUUUUCCUACUGAGGUUUUGAAAGGGGCCUGUUCUGCGUCUUUGGAAACAUCUUAAAAAGAUAAGGAUGAUUGUGGUGGUUGAAAAUAAACACUACCAUCCCACCCCAAAUUCUAAAGGCAAAUGUACUUUCUUAACUAGUUGCAGAGAAUACGACUGUAGAAUUAGGCCUUUGAGACUAGUUAGGCAAGAUGAUGUUAUACCUACAGAAAGGCUGGCACCACUCUCUUUGUGACUUUUGACCCUUCCUCCACCAUGCCAGCUGGGGCCACUUGUAUUAAUGCAAAGUUGUAAGCUAAGUUUCUGGGCUUUAAUUUACCCCUUUCAACUGAACUCUGGUUUUCAGGGCUGCAUAUAUAAGUGUCUGUCUAGGGCUGGGCUAAAUGGAUGGCUCUUGACCAAGAUAGAACUCCCUAGAACAAAUCAAAAGCAGGUGGACCAUUACCUCUGACUCGAGAUAGUUAAACCAUGGCCCAAGAGGGAACUGAUUCAGCUGGCUGUUUCUCUGACUUCCAGAGUUGUCAAAAUUAAGUUUUCAGAACCUGUUGUGUUUCCCAGGGACUACUGUUUACUGAGGAAAACACUACCCAGAGAAACUUUAGCAGUUGCAUUUUUCUAAGCCUCUCUCCCACCCCUACUGCCCGCGCCCAAAUGUAUUAGCAAAUGUUUUUUUGAAGACAGCUCUGUCCUGGAGGAUAUGGCAGCUCUCUAAAUGGGAGUUAACAGCUCACACACAGUCAUCAUAGAAAUUGGUGUCUUGUGCUUCCCAGCUAUAACGUGUUUCACGAAGAGGGCAGCAGGAGCUCUCUGUGGGAAAUAUUACUUUAUUUCAUUGGCCUGUUGCUGAUUCAAGAGUUAGCCUUUCGGGUGACAGUGUGAUUGUGAAGACCUUGUGGAUCACACCCCCUUUAGCUAGUGUAUGGAUGAGUGGAGGAAUGGGGAUAAAAACUAAAGGACAA